GUGUCAGCCGCCGCGGUAAUACGGAGGAUGCAAGCGUUAUCCGGAAUUAUUGGGCGUAAAGAGUCCGUAGGUGGUUGUGCAAGUCUGCUGUCAAAGGAUGAGGCUUAACCUCAUAAAGGCAGUGGAAACUGUGAAACUAGAGUGCGGUAGGGGUAGAGGGAAUUCCCAGUGUAGCGGUGAAAUGCGUAGAGAUUGGGAAGAACACCAGUGGCGAAAGCGCUCUACUGGGCCGAAACUGACACUGAGGGACGAAAGCUAGGGGAGCGAAAGGGAUUAGAAACCCGCGUAGUCC
rnacentral:rRNA from 1 species